UAUCCACCUAAACCAAUUGGAACCAAAAAUACGUGCAAAAUGCAUUUACAUAUACUUUGGGGCGCUGAACAACGCAUUAUAUUAAUAUAUGUGCUCCAAAGAAAGCACCGUGAGGUAAGGCUGUCGCCGGCAGGUACUCACGUAAAUCACAACGAUUGUGUAGUUUAUAGCUGACAAUCAAAAUAAACAAGAACAUGUUGACCGUAUUGAGAAGUAUAAGGAACCAAUGUGACAAGAAUACAAAUGAAAACUGUUGAAUAAGUGAACGAAACAGUCAACGAUCCACGAAGAUAACUAAACUGUAUCUGCUUGUAUAUGCGAAUUCCGUCCCUAACACUCCCAUUGCUAUGGGCCUAACUCGCAAAAAUAGCACGUUUCCUGCGCUUACCGCUAAAAUAAAAGUACCAACUCUACAAUAGUGUCCCCACAACACUAACCACCACUUUCCAUGCCUAUUUAUUUAGUUGCUUAUCUCUAUGAACAUUAAUUCUUACAGACUAAUAGAAAAUUUCAACCAGUUCAUCUAAUGUCCAUUUAUCUAGUGCUCGACCUUCGUAAAAUGCUCGAUUUAUAUGCCUGACGAGAAUGACAAUAUCUAGUACCAAACAAGUUCUGGACAUUCGCUACAUCUACAGCAUAAUCCUGAGGAAACCACAUGCUUAGUCGGUCUCUAAACCGAAAAACACUGUUUUUAUCCAAUCGAGGUGAAAUACAAAUAAUUGAAAUUAUACCAAAGUUGUUGUUGGUCUGACUCAGUUUCUAAUCAGUUUCUAUCAAUAAAGUAUGAUAUUUAUGCAAA
rnacentral:lncRNA from 1 species